rnacentral:rRNA from 1 species
GUCAUGGUCGGGAGACUGACCAGCCAGUCGCGGAAGAUGAAGUAUUAUGUAUUGUAACUUUUUUACGGGGAAUAAAAUGCGCUACGUGUAGCGUAUGCAAGUACCCCGGGAAUAAGCAUCGGCUAACUCCGUGCCAGCAGCCGCGGUAAUACGGAGGAUGCGAGCGUUAUCCGGAUUUAUUGGGUUUAAAGGGUGCGUAGGUGGCUGAUUAAGUCAGCGGUGAAAUCCCGGCGCUUAACGUCGGAACUGCCGUUGAAACUGGUCGGCUUGAGUGUAAACGAGGCAGGCGGAAUUCGUAGUGUAGCGGUGAAAUGCAUAGAUAUUACGAAGAACCCCGAUAGCGCAGGCAGCCUGCCAGGCUACAACUGACACUGAAGCACGAAAGUGCGGGGAUCAAACAGGAUUAGAUACCCUGGUAGUCCGCACAGUAAACGAUGAUUACUCGCUGUUUGCGAUAUACGGCAAGCGGCCAAGCGAAAGCGAUAAGUAAUCCACCUGGGGAGUACGCCGGCAACGGUGAAACUCAAAGGAAUUGACGGGGGCCCGCACAAGCGGAGGAACAUGUGGUUUAAUUCGAUGAUACGCGAGGAACCUUACCCGGGCUCGAACGGCGAUAGAAUAUGAUGGAAACAUUAUAGCCAGCAAUGGCUGUCAUAGAGAUGCUGCAUGGUUGUCGUCAGCUCGUGCCGUGAGGUGUCGGCUUAAGUGCCAUAACGAGCGCAACCCUUACCGCCAGUUACCAUCAAUUAAAGUUGGGGACUCUGGCGGGACUGCCGCCGCAAGGUGUGAGGAAGGUGGGGAUGACGUCAAAUCAGCACGGCCCUUACGUCCGGGGCGACACACGUGUUACAAUGGGAGGGACAGAAGGCAGCUACCGUGCGAGCGGAUGCGAAUCCCCAAACCCUCUCCCAGUUCGGAUAGGAGUCUGCAACCCGACUCCUUGAAGCUGGAUUCGCUAGUAAUCGCGCAUCAGCCAUGGCGCGGUGAAUACGUUCCCGGGCCUUGUACACACCGCCCGUCAAGCCAUGGAAGCCGGGGGUACCUGAAGUACGUAACCGCAAGGAGCGUCCUAGGUAA